rnacentral:rRNA from 1 species
UACGUAGGGACCAAGCGUUGUCCGGAAUCACUGGGCGUAAAGGGUGCGUAGGCGGGUCUUUAAGUCGAGGGGUGAAAUCCUGGAGCUCAACUCCAGAACUGCCUUUGAUACUGAGGAUCUUGAGUACGGGAGAGGUGAGUGGAACUGCGAGUGUAGAGGUGAAAUUCGUAGAUAUUCGCAAGAACACCAGUGGCGAAGGCGGCUCACUGGCCCGUAACUGACGCUGAGGCACGAAAGCGUGGGGAGCAAACAGGAGU